CUGUAGCACCGCCUGCCCGCUGACCGCCGACGUCACCUUCCCGGGGCCAGGGCGCCACCCACCGCUGACCAAUGACGUUACCUUCCCGAGGCCCACCCGGUGACAGCUGAAGUCACCUUCCCGACCCUGUAGCGCUGCCUACCCGCUGACCGCUGAGGUCACCAUCCUGAGGCCACGGCACCACCCACCCGCUGACCGCUGACAUCACCUUCCUGAGGCCACGGCGCCACCCACCCGCUGACCGCUGACGUCACCUUCCUGAGGCCACGGCGCCACCCACCCACUGACCGCUGACGUCAUCUUCCCGACGCUGUAGCACCACCCACCCGGCUGACCACAAGCCUUCUGCCGCCCCCUCACCCCUCGUGCGUGCAGCACGGUUUGGGUAUAUUCACACUCAGGUAUAAAAACAUGAAUCAGUUGGCAACAUAUUUCUCAGGCAAGAUUGCAGCCAUUUUAUUAGCUGGUCAUUAACUGGAACUGUGGAGAGAGCUGAGUCAUCACGGACCGUGACAGGAGCCGGAACCUGCAUUCUCGUCGCGCAGUGCAGCACGAGGUCCUCGUCAUAUAUGUAGUUACCUACUUGUUCCGCUUCUAUCGAAACAGCGACUGAUCACCUGUGGACAUCACUUCCCCUGGUAACUGGUCCCGGGCGCUGGCAGUAGGGACUCCAACCUUUGGACUCACUGAAGGAGCCUCAGAGAACGAUGUGGUUCUCCUGUGGAUCCUUGGUUCUGGAAAUGAAGUGCCUCGGGACUCAGUUUAUUUGUGGAAUGAAGCAUUCAACUAAAUGAAGGUAAAAAUAGGGAACCCUACAAGCUUUCUGCAUAUAAGAUACAAGAACAGUUUUUUUCAGUGCACCUGUGCCUGGCACAUUUUCCUAGGGACACCGCAGUCCUCCUGUUUGCCUCCAGGGUCGUUGGUCACUCUGUGUGACAUUCAGCUGGUCCCCAGGUAGUUCUCCCAGAUGUUACACAUGCAGCUGGUCUCAAUUCCUGUGCUUCCACGUGACAUUUUCAUAUUAUUUGAAGACUCUUGACUUGGACCGAGUUAGCAUAAACCUCACCGGGUUUACUGUUGUGACACAUGCCCUGUGUGUUGCUGGGCCAUGUGUUUCCCUGUAUAACCCGCCUGGUUUUUCACAGCCAGAGAUGGGUGUAGUUAAAGCGCUCCAAAUCACAGACCUCCAAGAGUUGAUGUACCUUUUUGAUACAUCUCCCUCCUGACAGGUCUACUUUUUUUCCACCUGGGCCAAAUGGUAAUGUAGUUUGGCUGAUUUUCAUGUGCUUGGACAGCUGUCCCCGGAGAUCCCCAUGCAGCUUGGACGACUGUCCCCAGAGACCCCGGUGCAGCCCGGACAGCUGUCCCCGGAAGCCCCGGUGCAGAAUUAGGGUUUUCCUUGGAGAGUCUUGCUAAUCCUGUUCACUCACUUUUGUGAACAGUUUUAUGUUAGGACAUGAACAGUACGUUUAUCCAGUUUUCGGGAAACACAAAGCCAAGAAGCCUAGUCUAUGUCAAGUGAUAGUCCUGGCUCAUGACCACUGCAGAGAUGAGAUCAAGGGGGCAAAACGGAUGAAAUGAAAUAACAGAAAUGUCAAACCUACAUUUGCAUUGGAAACACACACGUACAGAGUGAGGAAGAGUGGGUUAGAUCAUAUUUCAGCUAAAGGAUUUAUGGGAUUUUAAUUGGGAUCAAUACAAUAAGUGACACUGUGGCCAGAAAUGGAUAGUACCAGGUCCCCUCCAUCGACUCACAUGUGGAAAUGGAAAAGUCGGGAGAUCCUGGCACCCAACACUGAUCAGUGAAGCUUUCAGCAAAAUAGCUAAAUAGAGACACAGAUAAAAACACUCUGAAGAGCACUCAGCACAGAGCAUUGGGCAACC